rnacentral:rRNA from 1 species
GGUGAGUAACACGUGGGAACGUACCCUUCGGUUCGGAAUAACUCAGGGAAACUUGAGCUAAUACCGGAUACGCCCUUUUGGGGAAAGGUUUACUGCCGAAGGAUCGGCCCGCGUCUGAUUAGCUAGUUGGUGGGGUAACGGCCUACCAAGGCGACGAUCAGUAGCUGGUCUGAGAGGAUGAUCAGCCACACUGGGACUGAGACACGGCCCAGACUCCUACGGGAGGCAGCAGUGGGGAAUAUUGGACAAUGGGCGCAAGCCUGAUCCAGCCAUGCCGCGUGAGUGAUGAAGGCCUUAGGGUUGUAAAGCUCUUUUGUCCGGGACGAUAAUGACGGUACCGGAAGAAUAAGCCCCGGCUAACUUCGUGCCAGCAGCCGCGGUAAUACGAAGGGGGCUAGCGUUGCUCGGAAUCACUGGGCGUAAAGGGCGCGUAGGCGGCUUUUUAAGUCGGGGGUGAAAGCCUGUGGCUCAACCACAGAAUUGCCUUCGAUACUGGAAAGCUUGAGACCGGAAGAGGACAGCGGAACUGCGAGUGUAGAGGUGAAAUUCGUAGAUAUUCGCAAGAACACCAGUGGCGAAGGCGGCUGUCUGGUCCGGUUCUGACGCUGAGGCGCGAAAGC